rnacentral:rRNA from 1 species
UACGUAGGGUGCGAGCGUUGUCCGGAAUUAUUGGGCGUAAAGGGCUCGUAGGCGGUUUGUCGCGUCGGGAGUGAAAACUCAGGGCUUAACCCUGAGCCUGCUCCCGAUACGGGCAGACUAGAGGUAUGCAGGGGAGAACGGAAUUCCUGGUGUAGCGGUGGAAUGCGCAGAUAUCAGGAGGAACACCGGUGGCGAAGGCGGUUCUCUGGGCAUUACCUGACGCUGAGGAGCGAAAGUGUGGGGAGCGAACAGG